UGAUUUGCAUCCCCCGCCGGUCGUCCCUAUAUUGUCCGUGCCGGCAACGGCUAUGGCGAUAAACGGCCAUCGUAAUAAACCCAUUGGACCCGGGGGCAGUACCCGGCGCCUCCACCAUCUCCGCCCGCUCCAACGAGCGGAGCCACUGGGGGCGAAAUAGGAUCGACAAGGGCGUAAAGGGUGUGUUUUCGCUCGGUGAGGUACCACCGUUAUCGGUCCAAAUCUUAUAGUUGCCAAUGACAACCAUAAGGCUCCGGUCGCUCUCGCCGCGUAAGCGGUGCUAGCACUGGGAAUUUAAGUCCUCCGCCCCUAGCCGGGCGACAGGCGGGGUCCGCAGGCACCUGGCAACAGAAGCCUGCACU
rfam:Devosia sp. 66-22 SCNpilot_expt_1000_bf_scaffold_333, whole genome shotgun sequence.